AGAGUUUGAUCAUGGCUCAGGAUGAACGCUAGCUACAGGCUUAACACAUGCAAGUCGAGGGGCAGCAUGGUCUUAGCUUGCUAAGGCCGAUGGCGACCGGCGCACGGGUGAGUAACGCGUAUCCAACCUGCCUUACACUCUUGGACAGCCUUCUGAAAGGGAGAUUAAUACAAGAUGUUAUCAUGAGUAAGCAUUUUCGCAUGAUUAAAGGUUUACCGGUGUAAGAUGGGGAUGCGUUCCAUUAGAUAGUAGGCGGGGUAACGGCCCACCUAGUCUUCGAUGGAUAGGGGUUCUGAGAGGAAGGUCCCCCACAUUGGAACUGAGACACGGUCCAAACUCCUACGGGAGCAGCA
rnacentral:rRNA from 1 species